UCAGAGGUAGCAUGGACAGUGGACCAAAGAAGAAAAAGAGAAGUGCAAAUAUGUGUUAGCAAACAUAUAAAAAUGACCCCAAGUGGAUCCUAAAUUGAGAAAGAAGAAACCACCAACCUCAGCAUCAUAUUCUCUUCGCUGGCGGCAGCAAAGGACUCCAAACAACGUGCUGUGACUUUCUUCCUUCCCCACCACCACCAGACUAACGCCGCCAACCUUGGCAUCCCAAGGAGCAGGACAAGGAGAGAAACUUUCUGGUUACUGAUUCCAAUAGCACCGAUGAUACUUUGAUGCCAACUGCAGUAUUCAAGGCAUGAAUUUGCCCAUGUACCAGAAAGCAGAACCUGCCAGAUGGAAAAACAUGGUAACUCUUUACAAGCUUCAUCUGAUACUGGAUGAAAUUAGGAAACUCAAAAUACAGUCUGUUUAUAUUAAAUAUGGAUAUCGAGGUAUCUCACUCAACGUCACCAUCAUUACAUGAAGAAAUCUUUUUCCGAUGAACUGUGUUCCACACACACAGUUUACGAGCAUAGCUGGCUCCUUCUGGGCUCUGGCUCUCUCUACCUUUCUCUGUAUUUUGCAUUCCCAUGGAUAAGAAUGAACCUUUAUUUUAUUCUUGGCUCUCCCAAGAAUGGCGUGAGGAGAAGCUUGACUUUUGCCCUUCAGUGUCUCCACCUCCAUCCAACAACAAGAGCAGAUGUCACAGGCACGUGCUAGUUUUCAGCCAUCCCUUUUAUAUCUUAACAAUUUUCAUCUCUGAACUUACUCAUUCCCAAGAGUCAAUAAAGAGUGGUUAAGCAGCAGGAGUAGUUAUGGGAAAGAAGAAGAGAGAGAGCAGAUGUCAGCAAUUAAAUCUGGAUCAUAUUUAAAAUCUCACUUGCCUCUUGUGGCGCUCAAAUCUCAAUUGUUCUCUUCACAGCCACAGCCCAAUGGUUUUAUUUUUCUUACAUCAGCCCUAAGUGCAGCUCGGAGAGGAGGAUGAGUGAGGAGGUUGCUCAGCGGUGGGUUCUGGUCCACGUUACCCAGAGCGACCUCCCUUGGACGGGAGCUCCCAAACGGCAGGCUGAAUACUUCAUCGGAGGGAAACAAACACGGUGGGAGCAAAAAUGUAGGAUAAGAGGGAAAAAUAAAAUGAUCAGGAAAAACUCAGAAGCAAACUGAAAAACUGGGAAGAAGGAUCUGUGGUCUGUGGUUAGGCUAAAUGCCAGACACGGCUCGCCCUCGCGCCGGGGAGGCAGGCAGCUCCGACCGCGGGGCCUGAGAAGCAGGUGAGGCUUGUCUUCAGCCUGGCCACCAGAUGACACUAGCGAACUACAAAUGAUUUUUUUUCACAAAAGGCGGCAAGAACAACCUGACUGCUUUGGGUGCAUUCGAGGCAUUUUUGCAUAGUCUGUAGGCUCCUUUUGCAGAGGGAGCAAUGAGAUUAGUUUUUAGCCACUUUGAAAUACAUGUGUGUAUGAUAGCACAAUUAAAUCUCAGUUAAGCUUAGUUUUGAUGACUUUAAUAAUUCUCUAUCCAAGUUUUGCAUUAGCCUUUCAUUGUGGGAAACUUUUAUCCAUCGUGAACUUUGCCUGACUGGUCUUGGUAAAUUUAUUUCGUGUUUUUGCUAAGAAUUGCACAAAAUCCGCUUGGAAAUGUUAACAGGAUUUACGUUUUAAAUUGCAGCUCCUGUUUGCUUCCAUUCUAGAUGACAUACUGCAUAGAGUAACAC